rnacentral:rRNA from 1 species
CCUACGGGAGGCAGCAGUGGGGAAUAUUGCACAAUGGGGGAAACCCUGAUGCAGCGACGCCGCGUGGGUGAAGAAGUAAUUCGUUAUGUAAAGCUCUAUUAGCAGGGAAGAAAAUGACGGUACCUGAGUAAGAAGCCCCGGCUAACUACGUGCCAGCAGCCGCGGUAAUACGUAGGGGGCAAGCGUUAUCCGGAUUUACUGGGUGUAAAGGGAGCGUAGACGGCAGUGCAAGUCAGGAGUGAAAGGCGGGGGCUCAACCCCCGGACUGCUCUGGAAACUGUAAUGCUGGAGUGUAGGAGAGGUAAGUGGAAUUCCUGGUGUAGCGGUAAAAUGCGUAGAUAUUAGGAGGAACACCAGUGGCGAAGGCGGCUUACUGGACUGUAACUGACGUUGAGGCUCGAAAGCGUGGGGAGCAAACAGGAUUAGAUACCCGUGUAGUC